rnacentral:lncRNA from 1 species
UGGAUCGUGCUGUCACCAGAAUGGGCUUGGUAUUUUUUUCCAGUAAGUGCUUUGGUUUGCAUGAGGACAGUCGAUGGUGUCACGCCCACGCUGGGCGUGGCGGAGGAGAGGACUCCGUGGGGAGCUGAGGGACGGCCCACUUCCUUGAAGCCUGAACUCACAAAGAGGCAUCAAUGAGCCUCUCCCGAGCAACCAACCACCUGCCCACAGCCGGCAGGAAUCAGUCCUGGCAGAUACUCACGGCAGGCCUUCAUGUGCCAGACCAGGGUUCAGGGCAGCGAGGCAUACAUCCCUGCCUGCAGGAGGCUUACCCGCUUCAUCCGGAAGUUUCCGCAAAGCCAAGAAGGAUCUGAAAGCAUGGGGCAAGGAUGAGGAGGAGGUGAACAAAGGCCAGGCAGCACUGAGAUCUGACAGACUGGUGUCUGCUCAAGAGAAUUCAAACAGGCGCUCAGACAGAUGCCAUAGCAGCAUUAUCCACGAUAGCCAGAGGCUGGACACUACCAAGGGUCUGUCACUGAUGAACAGAUAAACAGCGUAGUCCAUGCAUCCCGUGUGGAAAGGAAAGACGUUCUGAGUCCCACCGCAGCCUGGCGUGGAAACUGUGAGGCAAUCAUAAAUAUGACGGCAUGUUGUGAUUCCAUCCUGGCGCCCAGAGAAGCAGCAAGGCCUUGUACACAGAGCUGGAGGGGUGCAAGAGGGAGCCUCCCUGGCCGGUCCCUGAGCUCGCCUAAACCACAGCCUGAGAUCCGGCAUGCCCUACGCACUGUCUGCUUCCUGUCCUGGAAUCUCUGUCAUCUGGAGGUGACAACCCACAGGCUCAGAAAGGCUGUGUAAUUUGCCCGAGACCACUCCGCUAGCAAGGGGCAGAGUCAGGACUGAACACAAAUCUUCAGAGCUCACUGCAGGCUUUCGCAAGUUCUCUACUUCUUAUUCAGUCAGGAGAUUCUGUAGCUGGCAUAACUACUUGUCAGCCAGACCCAUCUUCAGGUCAUCAGCAACCACACUUGCCGUCGGUUGACUGAAUGUGCUGAGCUUCGACAGUGGGGUCACGCGUCAGCCACACGGGUCAAGGGCACGUCGGUUUUGUUCCUCAUCGCAUUCCCAGCCCUGGCGUCACCUUUCUUGGAUGAUUCCUGAGUGAGCUGUUGAAUGUUCAGCGUGAAGGGUCUGGUUUGGGGACAGCAAGGGUGGGUGCGGAAGGGGUUGGAGCAAAAAGAAGAGCCUUGAUCCCACCCAGCUUCCCACCUGGUGAAGGGCAGAGACUCACUUCUGCUAGCCCAAGACAAGGCAUGUUCUUGCAUAAGGUGGAGCUCACAGAAGCUGUCAUGGGGUGGGAGAGUCA